rnacentral:rRNA from 1 species
AGCAGCCGCGGUAAUUCCAGCUCCAAUAGCGUAUAUUAAAGUUGUUGCAGUUAAAAAGCUCGUAGUUGAAUUUUGGAUUCUGCCAGUUGGUCCAUCUUUUGAUGAGUACUGAUUGUGUGGGGUCUAUCCGCCUGGUGAGACGUAAUGUACUUUAUUGUAUGUUGCGGGUAGUCAGGACCUUUACCUUGAAAAAAUUAGAGUGUUUAAAGCAGGCUUAUGCCGGAAUACAUUAGCAUGGAAUAAUAGAAUAGGACGAUGUUGUUUUAUUUUGUUGGUUUCUAGGACAACCGUAAUGAUUAAUAGGGAUAGUUGGGGGCAUUAGUAUUCAAUUGUCAGAGGUGAAAUUCUUGGAUUUAUUGAAGACUAACUAUUGCGAAAGCAUUUGCCAAGGAUGUUUUCAUUAAUCAAGAACGAAAGUUAGGGGAUCGAAGACGAUCAGAUACCGUCGUAGUCUUAACCAUAAACUAUGCCGACUAGGGAUCGGGCGAUGUUGUUUCCAUGACUCGCUCGGCACCUUAUG